rnacentral:SRP_RNA from 1 species
GGUCGGGUCCUGUGCAACGGACACCCGAGAAUCAGGUCAGGUCCGGAAGGAAGCAGCCUUCAUCGGAAGUGCUCGUGUGCCGCAGAUCGCCUGGCCGUC